CUCAAAGGGAGAUCAGACAACGGGCCACAUGGAGCUCAAAGCACGACAUAACAAAGACCUGCUCUUUUGUCUCAGCGGGUUUCUACACUUUCCAGACGGUCACAUGCUUUUGCUGCUGUGAAAAGUGGGGAACUCUAGGCCUCCUACAGCCAGAAAAGCGGAAGCUUGGUAUUCCCCGGCUGUGCGCCCUGGAACCGGGGCCAGGAUGGAUAUGGCUGCUGACCACCCCGUAGCCGUGCGGUGGUCAGCAGUCACAGCCCGACAGGACCCAUGAAUAACUGAGGGCCGGGCUAUCUCUCGCGGAGGCAGGGCCACUGCCGUGGAAAACAAAUGAGAGAGGCUCCGCUGGCGCGCUCCCCAGGCACUCUGUUAUAGAUUAAGAAAUGUAAAUAUGCUUUUUGGGGCAAAAACGUCGACAGGGGUACCACUUUCCUUUUUUAUUGGUCAACAUGGAAAAAACAUGAGGGGUAACUCUGUCGUUUUUUAUCGGCUGUCAUGAAAUAAACAUAAGUACUAACACUGUUGAUUUUC
ensembl:lncRNA